rnacentral:sRNA from 1 species
GCCACCCCUAACCCGACGGGGAACAGGCCGUAAACCUUCACCGGCUUGGGGUGGUAACCUUUGAAGGG